GGGCGCGUAGCUCAGUUGGUAGAGCAAGUGACUGUUAAUCACUGGGUCACAGGUUCGAAUCCUGUCGCGCUCACCA
rnacentral:tRNA from 1 species